rnacentral:lncRNA from 1 species
CCCUAUGUAUGCACUGAGUGUGGAAGAGCUUUCAUCCGCAAGUCAAACUUUAUUACUCAUCAAAGAAUUCAUACUGGAGAGAAGCCUUAUGAAUGCAGUGACUGUGGGAAGUCCUUUACCUCCAAGUCUCAGCUCCUGGUGCAUCAGCCAGUUCACACAGGAGAGAAACCCUAUGUGUGUGCCGAGUGCGGGAAGGCCUUU